rnacentral:rRNA from 1 species
UUUAAUUGAAGAGUUUGAUCAUGGCUCAGAUUGAACGCUGGCGGCAGGCCUAACACAUGCAAGUCGAGCGGUAACAGGAGAAAGCUUGCUUUCUUGCUGACGAGCGGCGGACGGGUGAGUAAUGUAUGGGGAUCUGCCCGAUAGAGGGGGAUAACUACUGGAAACGGUGGCUAAUACCGCAUAAUGUCUACGGACCAAAGCAGGGGCUCUUCGGACCUUGCACUAUCGGAUGAACCCAUAUGGGAUUAGCUAGUAGGUGGGGUAAAGGCUCACCUAGGCGACGAUCUCUAGCUGGUCUGAGAGGAUGAUCGGCCACACUGGAACUGAGACACGGCCCAGACUCCUACGGGAGGCAGCAGUGGGGAAUAUUGCACAAUGGGCGCAAGCCUGAUGCAGCCAUGCCGCGUGUAUGAAGAAGGCCUUAGGGUUGUAAAGUACUUUCAGCGGGGAGGAAGGUGAUAAGGUUAAUACCCUUAUCAAUUGACGUUACCCGCAGAAGAAGCACCGGCUAACUCCGUGCCAGCAGCCGCGGUAAUACGGAGGGUGCAAGCGUUAAUCGGAAUUACUGGGCGUAAAGCGCACGCAGGCGGUCAAUUAAGUCAGAUGUGAAAGCCCCGAGCUUAACUUGGGAAUUGCAUCUGAAACUGGUUGGCUAGAGUCUUGUAGAGGGGGGUAGAAUUCCAUGUGUAGCGGUGAAAUGCGUAGAGAUGUGGAGGAAUACCGGUGGCGAAGGCGGCCCCCUGGACAAAGACUGACGCUCAGGCGCGAAAGCGUGGGGAUCAAACAGGAUUAGAUACCCUGGUAGUCCACGCUGUAAACGAUGUCGAUUUAGAGGUUGUGGUCUUGAACCGUGGCUUCUGGAGCUAACGCGUUAAAUCGACCGCCUGGGGAGUACGGCCGCAAGGUUAAAACUCAAAUGAAUUGACGGGGACCCGCACAAGCGGUGGAGCAUGUGGUUUAAUUCGAUGCAACGCGAAGAACCUUACCUACUCUUGACAUCCAGCGAAUCCUUUAGAGAUAGAGGAGUGCCUUCGGGAACGCUGAGACAGGUGCUGCAUGGCUGUCGUCAGCUCGUGUUGUGAAAUGUUGGGUUAAGUCCCGCAACGAGCGCAACCCUUAUCCUUUGUUGCCAGCACGUAAUGGUGGGAACUCAAAGGAGACUGCCGGUGAUAAACCGGAGGAAGGUGGGGAUGACGUCAAGUCAUCAUGGCCCUUACGAGUAGGGCUACACACGUGCUACAAUGGCAGAUACAAAGAGAAGCGACCUCGCGAGAGCAAGCGGAACUCAUAAAGUCUGUCGUAGUCCGGAUUGGAGUCUGCAACUCGACUCCAUGAAGUCGGAAUCGCUAGUAAUCGUAGAUCAGCAUGCUACGGUGAAUACGUUCCCGGGCCUUGUACACACCGCCCGUCACACCAUGGGAGUGGGUUGCAAAAGAAGUAGGUAGCUUAACCUUCGGGAGGGCGCUUACCACUUUGUGAUUCAUGACUGGGGUGAAGUCGUAACAAGGUAACCGUAGGGGAACCUGCGGUUGGAUCACCUCCUUACCUAAGAGA